GUGAGCCGAGCCGUGAGCCGAGGCCAAGCCGAGCCGAGCCGAGCCACCUAAGCCUUCCUUCCUCCACUUCGGGUCACGGUAGUAAGGAGUUGACGCUUAAGUUCUCGGGUCCCGCGGCAGGCUUGUUUGGAGAUAGCUUUCCUUUCCUUGGGUUGAUCCGUUGAGCGUGGAUUCGAUCGAGGGGCAUAACCGAGUAUCAGGUAAGGGCACAGCGAGGGGCAGACCGACGAGAGGCAGGAAGGACGCGUGAAGGCCAUAUGGACGCGUCUGGUUUUCUUAUCGCUUCCGCUAUGUAUUUUGUCAGAAUAUUUGACUUGUGAUUUUGAACUGAUGACU